GCCACUCAAGGUACCUGCUCUUGCUUAGCCCUAGACCAGCCUUAAUCAAGUACACACAUGAUCGUAGACAAUCCAGUCGUGCCCCCCCCCCCGUAUAUUGUUGUGGUUGUUUCGCCCGGGGUCAGCUCUGAUUGAGAAGUCCUAAAGAUUUAGCUAUUUCGUUUAAACUCUUGAGGGGUGGUCACCAGGUAGUGCUUUCAUUCCAUAUGUUCUGUGAUCUGGGUGGAUGUGAAUGAACAUUAUGAACCCGACCACUCUCUAAACUUGAU